UACGGAGGGUGCUAGCGUUGUUCGGAAUUACUGGGCGUAAAGCGCGUGUAGGCGGCCCGCUAAGUCUGAUGUGAAAGCCCGGGGCUCACCCCCGGAAGUGCAUUGGAGACUGGCGGGCUCGAGUCCCGGAGAGGAGGGUGGAAUUCCUGGUGUAGCGGUGAAAUGCGCAGAUAUCAGGAAGAACACCUAUGGCGAAGGCAGCUCUCUGGGACGGUACUGACGCUGAGACGCGAAAGCGUGGGGAGCGAACAGG
rnacentral:rRNA from 1 species